rnacentral:rRNA from 1 species
UACAGAGGGUGCGAGCGUUAAUCGGAAUUACUGGGCGUAAAGCGUGCGUAGACGGUUAUUUAAGUCGGGUGUGAAAGCCCCGGGCUCAACCUGGGAAUUGCAUUCGAGACUGAAUAGCUAGGGUACGGUAGAGGGAAGUGGAAUUUCCGGUGUAGCGGUGAAAUGCGUAGAUAUCGGAAGGAACAUCAGUGGCGAAAGCGACUUCCUGGACCAGUACCGACGUUCAGGCACGAAAAGCGUGGGGAGCAAACAGG